AAGGGCUUAGCUUAAUUAAAGUGGCUGAUUUGCAUUCAGUCGAUGUAGGGUAGAGUCUUGCAGUCCUUA
rnacentral:tRNA from 4 species